rnacentral:rRNA from 1 species
GUGGGGAAUCUUCCGCAAUGGACGAAAGUCUGACGGAGCAACGCCGCGUGAGUGAUGAAGGUCUUCGGAUUGUAAAGCUCUGUUAAUCGGGACGAAAGAGCCUAGUGUGAAUAAUGCUAGGAAGUGACGGUACCGGAAUAGAAAGCCACGGCUAACUACGUGCCAGCAGCCGCGGUAAUACGUAGGUGGCAAGCGUUGUCCGGAAUUAUUGGGCGUAAAGCGCGCGCAGGCGGAUCUGCCAGUCUGUCUUAAAAGUUCGGGGCUUAACCCCGUGAUGGGAUGGAAACUACAGAUCUAGAGUAUCGGAGAGGAAAGUGGAAUUCCUAGUGUAGCGGUGAAAUGCGUAGAUAUUAGGAAGAACACCAGUGGCGAAGGCGACUUUCUAGACGAAAACUGACGCUGAGGCGCGAAAGCCAGGGGAGCGAACGGGAUUAGAAACCCUUGUAGUCC